CUGGAGUCGUACAAGGUGACCCUAAUUUUUCACGUGGAGCCGAUGACGUUUUAGCUUGCUCCUCUGAUUUAGCGGCGGACGGGUGAGUAACACGUGGGCAACCUGCCCUGCAGACUGGGAUAACUUCGGGAAACCGGAGCUAAUACCGGAUAAUCCAUUUUACUUCAUGGUGAAAUGUUGAAAGGCGCUUUCGCGCCACUGCAGGAUGGGCCCGCGGUGCAUUAGCUAGUUGGUGGGGUAACGGCCUACCAAGGCGACGAUGCAUAGCCGACCUGAGAGGGUGAUCGGCCACAUUGGGACUGAGACACGGCCCAAACUCCUACGGGAGGCAGCAGUAGGGAAUCUUCCACAAUGGACGAAAGUCUGAUGGAGCAACGCCGCGUGAGUGAUGAAGGUUUUCGGAUCGUAAAACUCUGUUGUAAGGGAAGAACAAGUACGUUAGGAAAUGAACGUACCUUGACGGUACCUUAUUAGAAAGCCACGGCUAACUACGUGCCAGCACCCCGGUAAUACGUAGGUGGCAAGCGUUGUCCGGA
rnacentral:rRNA from 1 species